GGACUGGCUGUGGGCAUAGCUAUGGUCAUGUAUGGUCGAAUGGAAGAAGCAGAUGCGCUGAUAGCCUCUGCAGAGACAAGGUGAGUGAUGUCAAUGAUGAUGUUAGAAGAGCAGCUGUAGAAUCUCUGGGCUUCAUCCUGUUCAGCCACUUCUGAUGACGUCACUUCCCAUUUCCAGCAACGGCACUUCCUGCUUUAUGUUGGUCAGCGAGUCGCGGAUCAGUUUGCGGGUCAGGCAGUCACUGCUGUACAUAAUCCCAACCCUGCAAGGGGCCUGUCUCCUACAGUAAACUGAGUCCCAAUCCAAAAAAGAGGAGGGCCCAUGAACCUGCAAGAAAAUUGAACAUGGGAAAUUGAAAUGUAUAUCCACGCUAUUUACAAAUAAUAUAGAGAAGUUAGCUAAUCGGUUAUGAAGUUAUAGAGUAGGUAAGGAUCAGCCACAUGUAAUUGUCCCAUCCUACUGGUGUAGCAUUGUUGUAUAAUGUCCAUAUAUAUAAAUGAGUCUUUUAGAUCAUGUGAUAGAGGAAUCCAUAAUAAAGAUAAGUCAAAGAACAAUUGUAUUAAGUAUCAUUAUUACUUGGCGUCAAAUUAUUGUUAGGUUUCCUACGAGUAUCCUCUGGUUAGGGGUUAGACUAAUGGGGAGAGUUUCAUUGAGUCCUUUAGGGGCCAAAACAUCAAGUUUAUAAAUCCACAUUGAUUCUUUACGUAUCAACAUUAUGUCCCUGUCCCCUAUUAUAUGCACAAUUUUCCUGAAGACGCUCAAGAACUAGAGCCAAAACGUUGAGAAUAAAUGUUGUUGUUUUUGACAC